UUGACCUCAAAUCGGGUGAGACUACCCGCUGAACUUAAGCAUAUCAAUAAGCGGAGGAAAAGAAACUAACAAGGAUUCCCCUAGUAACUGCGAGUGAAGCGGGAAAAGCUCAAAUUUAAAAUCUGGCGGUCUUUGGCCGUCCGAGUUGUAAUUUAGAGAAGCGUCUUCCGCGCCGGACCGUGCACAAGUCUCCUGGAAUGGAGCGUCAUAGAGGGUGAGAAUCCCGUCUUUGGCACGGAUGCCUGGUGCUUCUGUGAUGCGCUCUCGAAGAGUCGAGUUGUUUGGGAAUGCAGCUCAAAAUGGGUGGUGAACUCCAUCUAAAGCUAAAUAUUGGCGAGAGACCGAUAGCGAACAAGUACCGUGAGGGAAAGAUGAAAAGCACUUUGGAAAGAGAGUGAAACAGUACGUGAAAUUGUUGAAAGGGAAACGCUUGAAGUCAGUCGCGUCGACCGAGACUCAGCCUUGCCUCGGCUUGGUGUACUUCUCGGCCCGACGGGUCAGCGUCAAUUUUGCCCCUCGGAUAAUGGCAAGGGAAAGGUGGCACCUUUACGGGUGUGUUAUAGUCUCCUGUCGCAUGCGAGGGGUGGGAUUGAGGAACUCAGCGCGCACCUUGGUGUCGGGGCUUCGGCCCACGCCACGCGCUUAGGAUGCUGCGUA
rnacentral:rRNA from 1 species